CAACAGUUCAAAGUGACAACAGAAAAG
rnacentral:piRNA from 1 species